GUAAGUAAAACAAACAUCAAUAUGUAAAAAAGGUAAUCAUUUUACAAUGUCAAGUCACCACUAAUACAAUGUCAAGUCACCACUAAUACAAUGUCAAGUCAUCACUAAUACAAUGUCAAGUCCCCACCAAUACAGGGUAGUCUCCAAUAAAUCAAUGUCAAGUCACCACUAAUACAAGGUAGUCUCCACUAAUACAAGGUAGUCUCCACUAAUACAAGGUAGUCUCCACUAAUACAAUGCCAAAUCACCACUAAUACAAGGUAGUCUCACUAAUACAAGGUAGUCUCCACUAAAUCAAUGUCAAGUCACCACUUAUACAAGGUAGUCUCCACUAAAUCAAUGUCCAGUCUCCACUAAUACAAGGUAGUCUCCACUAAUACAAGGUAGUCCCCACUAAUACAAUGUCAAGUCUCCACUAAUACAAGGUAGUCACCACUAAUACAAGGUAGUCUCCACUAAAUCAAUGUCAAGACACCACUAAUACAAGGUAGUCUCCACUAAUACAAUGCCAAAUCACCACUAAUACAAGGUAGUCUCCACUAAUACAAGGUAGUCUCCACUUAUACAAGGUAGUUUCCACUUAUACAAGGUAGUCUCCACUUAUACAAGGUAGUCUCCACUAAUACAAUGUAGUCUCCACUAAUACAAGGUAGUCUCCACUAAUACAAGGUAGUCUCGACUAAAUCAAUGUCAAGUCUCUACUAAUACAAGGUAGUCUCCACAAAAUCAAUGUCAAGUCUCCACUAAUAAAAGGUAGUCUCCACUAAUACAAUGUCAAGUCACCACUAAUACAAGGUAGUCUCAACUAAAUCAAUGUCAAGUCACCACUAAAUCAAUGUCAAGUCACCAUUAAUACAAGGUAGUCUCCACUUAAUCAAUGUUAAGUCUCCGCUAAUACAAGGUAGUCUCCACUAAUACAAGGUAGUCUCCACAGACUACUUAUACAAGGAAGUCUCCACUAAUACAAGGUAGUCUCAACUAAAUCAAUGUCAAGUCUCCACUAAUACAAGGUAGUCUCCACUAAAUCAAUGUCAAGUCUCCACUAAUACAAGGUAGUCUCCACUAAAUCAAUGUCAAGUCACCACUAAUACAAGGUAGUCUCCACUUAUACAAUGUAAAGUAUCCACUAAUACAAGGUAGUCUCCACUCAAUCAAUGUCAAGUCUCCACUAAUACAAGGUAGUCUCCACUAAUACAAUGUCAAGUCACCACUAAUACAAGGUAGUCUCCACUAAUAGAAGGUAGUCUCCACUAAUACAAGGUAGUCUCCACUAAUACAAUGUCAAGUCACCACUAAUACAAGGUAGUCUCCACUAAUACAAGGUAGUCUCCACAAAAUCAAUGUCCAGUCUCCACUGAUACAAGGUAGUCUCCACUUAUACAAUGUAGUCUCCACUAAUACAAUGUCAAGUCACCACUAAUACAAGGUAGUCUCCACUAAAUCAAUGUCAAGUCACCACUAAAUCAAUGUCAAAUCACCACUAAAUCAAUGUCAAAUCACCACUAAUACAAGGUAGUCUCGCCUAAAUCAAUGUCAAGUCACCACUAAAUCAAUGUCAAGUCACCACUAAUACAAGGUUGUCUCCACUAAAUCAAUGUCCAGUCUCCACUAAUACAAGGUAGUCUCCACUAAUACAAGGUAGUAUCCACUAAAUCAAUGUCAAGUCACCACUAAUACAAGGUAGUCACCACUAAAUCAAUGUCAAGUCUCCACUUAUACAAGGUUGUCUCCACUAAAUCAAUGUCAAGUCUCAACUAAUACAAGGUAGUCUUCACUAAAUCAAUGACAAGUCUCCAAUAAAUCAAUGUCAAGUCUCCACUUAUAAAAGGUAGUCUCCACUUAAUCAAUGUCAAGUCUCCACUAAAUCAAUGUCAAGUCUCCACUAGUACAAGGUAGUCUCCACUAAUAAAAGGUAGUCUCCACUAAAUCAAUGUCAAGUCACCACUUAUACAAGGUAGUCUCCACUAAAUCAAUGUCAAGUCUCCACUAAUACAAGGUAGUCUCCACUAAUACAAUGCCAAAUCACCACUAAUACAAGGUAGUCUCCACUAAUACAAUGUCAAGUCACCACUUAUACAAUGUCAAGACACCACUUAUACAAUGUCAAGUCACCACUUAUACAAUGUCAAGUCACCACUAAUACAAUGUCAAGUCACCUAUUAUACAAUGUCAAGUCACCACUUAUACAAUGUCAAGUCACCACUUAUACAAUAUUAAAGACUCAUAGGCCAAAGCAUGGUGUCACAACCUAUUUACCAAUACUGAAUGGCCCGUCUCGUCCCAGUGGGGCCAUAUAUACUGUCUUAUUUUACAAUGUUGGGAUCCACUGACUCAAGGAUGCUCCAGACCAACUUAGGUUAAAAUCCCUUUGCCUGUACUUUGGCAAGGUGAACUUAGAAUUAUCUCAAAAAUAUUCAGUUUCAAUUAAGCAUUUUUGCAGGUUGUUUAUACAAUUACCGAAAUUAUCAAGUUUUAGACUUGUAACGUUGAAAAAUUAUUCUGCACAACAAAGAUGGCAGAAUGUGACCCAAACAUUGCUUUAAAACUGAAUUCAACAACUCAUCGUGUGAUUGUUUCGAAUUAUCAAAAUGUGUUUUUUUAGAAUAUAAUGAAACU